rnacentral:rRNA from 1 species
AGCAGUAGCCACGGGAAUACGAGGGGUGCAAGCGUUAUUCGGAUUGAUUGGGCGUAAAGCGAGCGCAGGCGGUUAGAUAAGUCUGAAGUUAAAGGCUGAGGCUUAACCAUAGUACGCUUUGGAAACUGUUUGACUUGAGUGCAGAAGGGGAGAGUGGAGUUCCAUGUGUAGCGGAGAAAUGCGUAGAUAUAUGGAGGAACACCGGUGGCGAAAGCGGCUCUCUGGUCUGUCACUGACGCUGAGGCUCGAAAGCGUGGGUAGCGAACAGGAUUAGAUACCCGCGUAGUCCCUGUCUCUUAUACA